ensembl:lncRNA
GACUUUGGGGGGGUUUAGGGAGGGCUUUGGGGGGGGGCUGGGGGGGAUUGGGAGGGUUUAGGGGGCUGGCCAUCAGUAAGGACCAGCAGAUGCCCAAAAGCACGACCCAAAGCACAGCUCCUCCUUCCUCCUCCUCCUCCUCCUCCUCCUCCUCCUCCUCCUCCAUCCUCUGAGCAUCCCUGCACCCCUUAGGACCCCUCCCCUACCUCCAUAUGCAGGAUGCCACCCUACAAAUGGGCAAAAGGGGGCUCAGCAAAGGGGCUCAGCUCCCCCCAUCCCCCAUUCCCACAUCACAUCUCUCACCACCCCCUUCCCCCCCCCUCCUCAUUGCAGUCCUCAAUUUCUUCCUGGACAACCGCUGGGGUUUCAAUCGGGACCGGCUGGCCAUCAGUGGUGAUCGGAGACGUGGCCGUGACGCAGGGCAGGAGCUACUGGGCCUGCUGCGUGGAUCCCAGCUCCUACCUGGUUAAGGUGGGAGUGGGGCUGGAGAGUAAAUUGCAGGAGUGGUUCCAGGCACCGCAGGAUGUGGUCAGCCCGAGGUGAGGGGGGGUUUGGGGGGGUGGGGAGGUGGGAUGUGGAAAUGUGGAGAUGUGGGAAGGUGGGAAGGUGGGGUCUGGAAACAUGGGAAGGUGGAAAUGUGGAAAUGUGGGAACAUGGGAACGUGGGAACAUGGAAAGGGAACAUGGAAAUGUGGGAACAUGGGAACAUGGAAAUGUGGGAACAUGGGAACGUGGAAAUAUGGGAUCAUGGGAACAUGGAAAUGUGGGAACGUGGAAAUGUGGGAACAUGGGAACAUGGAAAGGGAACAUGGGAACGUGGAAACGUGGGAACGUGGGAACAUGGAAAGGGAACAUGGGAACGUGGGAAUGUGGGAACAUGGGGUCUGGAAACAUGGGAANNNNNNNNNGGAAACAUGGGAACGUGGAAAUAUGGGAUCAUGGGAACAUGGAAAUGUGGGAACGUGGGAACGUGGGAACAUGGGAAUGUGGGAACAUGGAAAUGUGGGAACGUGGAAAUGUGGGAACAUGGGAACGUGGAAAUGUGGGAACAUGGAAAUGUGGGAACAUGGGAACAUGGGAAUGUGGGAACAUGGAAAUGUGGGAACGUGGAAAUGUGGGAACGUGGAAAUGUGGGAACAUGGGAACAUGGGAACAUGGAAAGGGAACAAGGGAACAUGGGAACGUGAAAAUGUGGGAACGUGGAAAUGUGGAAACGUGGAAUUGUGGGAACAUGGGAACAUGGGAACAUGGAAAGGGAACAUGGGAACGUGGAAACAUGGAAAUGUGGGAACAUGGGAACAUGGGGUCAUGGAAAUGUGGGAACAUGGGAACAUGGAAAUGUGGGAACAUGGGAACGUGGGAACAUGGGAACAUGGAAACAUGGGAACAUCAGAACAUGGGGUCAUGGAAACAUGGGAACAUGGGAACAUCAGAACAUGGGAACAUGGGAACGUGGGAACAUGGAAACGUGGGAACAUGGGAACAUGGGGUCAUGGAAACAUGGGGACGUGGGAAUAUGGAAACGUGGGAACAUGGAAACAUGGGAACGUGGGAUCUGGAAACAUAGGAACAUGGAAACGUGGAAAUGUGGGAAUAUGGAAACAUGGGAACAUGGGAGUAUGGGAACAUGGGGUCAUGGAAACAUGGGAACAUGGAAAUGUGGGAACAUGGAAAUGUGGGAACAUGGGGUCAUGGAAACAUGGGAACAUGGGAACAUGGAAAUAUGGGGUCAUGGAAACAUGGAAAUGUGGGAAGGUGGAAAUGUGGGAACAUGGAAACAUCAGAACAUGGGAACAUGGGGACGUGGGAACAUGGAAACGUGGGAACAUGGGAACAUGGAAAUGUGGGAAUGUGGAAAUGUGGGAACAUGGGAUUUUGGGAUUAUGGGGUCAUGGGAACAUGGAAACGUGGGACGUGGAAACGUGGGAACCCCAGAGACCCCCAGAAACUAUAGGGACUCAAAGAGGGACCUAUAGGGAUACAUAGAGACCCCAUAGGGACCCCAUAGAGGCACAUAGGGACCCAUAAGGACCCUAUAGGGACUCAAAGAGGAACCCAUAGGGACCCAUAGAGACCCCAUAGAGACCCAUAGGGACCCAUAGAGACCCCAUAGGGACCCAUAAGGACCCAUAAGGACCCCCAGAAACCU